AUUGGUUUUUUGUUAUACAGAAAUAACAAAACAUGCCCGAAAAGCUGCUGUGUUGUUCAAUGUACAUGUAACCAGGUCAAAAAUAUCCACCUACGUAUCGCAAUGCUCUCACGUAGGGAAAUAGAGCCUGCGAGAAGAGCCCUGUGGCUUCAGGCUAUGUCGUGGGAGAGUGGGAAAUAGGCUACACGUAGCUAGAUUUGUGGAAAACAUUUAAUCCCAGACUCAUCAUCUCACUGAGAAUCCACCAAUCUAAGAGAAAGCCCCAGCUGAGCCAGAUUACAAUACUGAUUAAACACAACAAUAAUCUCCUCUAAAACGCUUUCACCUUAAUCUGCAUGCGGUCAAGUGCAGGAGACAUCCAAUACAGUCAUGGACGUGGUUAGAUACAUCGGUUUAACAGCUUUUUUGGAACAGAAACCAGACCUACGCAACACUUUUUUUUGUUAUCUCUCUUUCAAUCUGAGAUAGGAACUGAUCAGACCUAUGACGUCUUCUACAGUUCUUCAG